rnacentral:sRNA from 1 species
AAAAAAAAAGCAAAAAAAA